rnacentral:rRNA from 1 species
AGCUUGCUCCUGGGUGACGAGCGGCGGACGGGUGAGUAAUGUCUGGGGAUCUGCCUGAUGGAGGGGGAUAACUACUGGAAACGGUAGCUAAUACCGCAUAACGUCGCAAGACCAAAGAGGGGGACCUUCGGGCCUCUUGCCAUCAGAUGAACCCAGAUGGGAUUAGCUAGUAGGUGGGGUAAUGGCUCACCUAGGCGACGAUCCCUAGCUGGUCUGAGAGGAUGACCAGCCACACUGGAACUGAGACACGGUCCAGACUCCUACGGGAGGCAGCAGUGGGGAAUAUUGCACAAUGGGCGCAAGCCUGAUGCAGCCAUGCCGCGUGUAUGAAGAAGCCUUCGGGUUGUAAAGUACUUUCAGCGAGGAGGAAGGCAUUAAGGUUAAUAACCUUAGUGAUUGACGUUACUCGCAGAAGAAGCACCCGCUAACUCCCUGCCAGCAGCCGCGGUAAUACCNGAAGGGGCAAGCGUUUAUCGGAAUUACUGGGCGUAAA